rnacentral:ribozyme from 1 species
AGGGCAAACAGAGAGCCAAAUGUACUCCAACCAAAACCCCUCUCCUGCUUUUGAAGAAUUCUUGUCUUUUUUGGGAGAUAAAAUUUCUCUUCGUGGGUGGGAUGAUUUCCGAGGGGGGUUGGAUGUCAGUGACAAGAGCCAGACAGGGACAGAAUCUGUAUUUGUGAAGAGUGGG